rnacentral:rRNA from 1 species
ACCUACGGGGGGCAGCAGUGAGGAAUAUUGGUCAAUGGGCGGGAGCCUGAACCAGCCAAGCCGCGUGAAGGAAGAAGGCGCCAAGCGUCGUAAACUUCUUUUGUCGGGGAGCAAAGAGAGUCACGUGUGACUCAUUGAGAGUACCCGAAGAAAAAGCAUCGGCUAACUCCGUGCCAGCAGCCGCGGUAAUACGGAGGAUGCGAGCGUUAUCCGGAUUUAUUGGGUUUAAAGGGUGCGCAGGCGGAGGUGCAAGUCAGCGGUCAAAUUGCGGGGCUCAACCCCGUACUGCCGUUGAAACUGCAUCC